GCCCCCCGAAUUGUAGUCUAGAAAGGCGCCAUCGGGCACGUCCGCCGCUCAAAUCCCUUGGAACAGGGUAUCGGAGAAGGUGAGAAUCCUGUACCGUGGCGGUUCGUGCCCGCACGAUGCGCUCUUGCAGAGUCGGGUUGCUUGGGAUUGCAGCUUGAAGUGGGUGGUAAAUUCCAUCUAAAGCUAAAUACUGGCUCAUGACCGAUAGCGAACAAGUACCGUGAGGGAAAGAUGCAAAGAACUUUGAAAAGAGAGUUAAAGAGUGCUUGAAAUCGGCAAGAGGAAACCCGUUUGUGCCCGGCUUCGCGUUGUCGAUUCAGCCGCGCGCGUGCUUUCUGAGGACCGCAAGGCCUCUCUGCUGUAGCGCUCGGUGCACUUCGUCAGCGCGGGUCAGCCGCGACUAUGGGGGCGAGACAUCUCACUUGGCAGGGCUUCGGCGAGCCUUGUGCGGCGUCGCGCUCGUGGUCCCGGCUGACGGAACGGGCGCAACCGACCCGUCUAGAAACACGGACCAAGGAGUCUGACACAUGCGCGAGUACGCGAGUGGCAAGCUUGUGUGCGCAAUGAAAGUAAAGGGCAUGCCCUGCCAACCGACCUUGAUCUUCUGUGAAGGGUUUGAGUGGAGCGUAUCUGUCGGGACCCGAAAGAUGGUGAACUAUGCCUGGGUAGGAUGAAGCCAGAGGAAACUCUGGUGGAGGUCCGUAGCGAUACUGACGUGCAAAUCGUUCGUCGAAUCUGGGUAUAGGGGCGAAAGACUAAUCGAACCAUCUAGUAGCUGGUUCCCUCCGAAGUUUCCCUCAGGAUAGCUUGAACGCAACGGUUUUGU
rnacentral:rRNA from 1 species